rnacentral:lncRNA from 1 species
CUGAGGCUUGUGCUCGGCAAACCUCUCCGCAUCGUCCGCCACCCCUCCUGAUGAGCUGGUAUUCAAGCUGGAUCUCGAACGGGAAUACGUCGGGUAUUCGUUCUCCACAGGUGCUCCCGGGUACAUUUGAUCUGAGGCACCAAACAGGUACUCGUACUCCUCAGUGCUGGUCGAAUUCCUUGUGCUGUCGCUACUAUCAGUGCUGACAGUGCUGUGCGAUCCAGCAUCAGAGUUGCUGAAGAGUGACGAGCUCUCGCUUGGACUUGGAGAUUCUGCCGGUGGAUAUGGUGCAUCUCCAUAUUCGUCGGAUGUAUGGGCAAGGUCAUCUGCCAUGUAGUCUGCAUGUAGGUGACCACCUUGGUGUCUGCUGAAGGAACCUCCAAAUGGUGUCCCUCCUGGAACUACCUUCUGCUUGGCCUUCUUCGGGCGUGCUGGGUCUUGAACCAUCACUUUCCUCACAGAGCUUGGCGCCCUUGGUGAACAUCUGAUUUAAUUAGAACAAGUAUUAGAAUAUCCUGACAAAAGUCCUCACAGGCAUAUGCAGGACAAGUGCGAGCAUAUGCAAUUAGAAUAAGAAAAUCCUGGUAUUCACCUUGCGUACAGCAGCAUAUACGCACACUUUGACAUAACGUUGUCUAGAGAUACAGGUUUCACCUGCACACAACAGACGCAAGCUAUUAAGAAUAGCAUAUUACAACAACUGAUUCUAUCUGAAGAUAACCUAGCACAGGCCCGCUGCUUUCAACCCAGUGAAGCAUCAGUUCAGUAACUGUCAACUUUUGACACAAAAUAUGUUUGCUAUUCUUUUACAAAAAUAUAAACUUAUCCUUGCAAUUUUCUAAUAAUAUGUACAGUCUGAUCAUUAUUCCAUAUUUUCAGUAAGGAUUAUAGUUUCAUUUAUGGUAGAAGAAAAACACUUAAGGGUCAGUUUGGAGGAAAAAAAUCAGUCUAGGAACUCUCAGGAUUUAGCUCAUGUUUUUAUAAAUCCUAGAAAUUUGGAUCCUGGAAUGACCUUUCCAAAAAGGCCCUAAUUAUGAGAAUAGGACCAUGAGAAGCAUACCUGGCUGUCAUCUGCCUUAAACCACUUUCCCUGUGUAUCUUUAACAUAACAUACAUAAUGACCAGAGAAGGCAGCAUUCAUGACAUCAUGAUGGACAACCACUGCAUAGAGGCUGUAAACAGGCGAUCUGUCAUCAGUCUCUGGGUUCAUAUAACGAACCAUGUUCAGGGUCUCCGGAAAUCUGAUGGCUUUGUUAAUCUUCCCAAACUUGCCAGACUGCACAUAUAAAAAGGAUGCUUAGUGGAUAUAACAAAACUCAAUUCCUAUUAAUAGUUUAAUACAUGAAAAUAUGAACAUUUGAGUCAUCCACAUGUACUUCUCCGCUCUUUUGCUAGUACGGUGUUCAAAUAUAACUUUCAGUAAAUGGCACAUACCUGAUAUCUUUUCAGUGCAAUAGUCAGAACAUUUGGUGCUUCUUCUAUUGUCAACUUCUUUUUAGCACGCUCAUAGGAUUUGCAUCUGAUAAGGCAGAGUAGAGUCAGGAAUGAGAAUUUAACAAAAGAAUAAUUGAAACUACAUACAUGUGACUAAAUGUGAAGCGAGCAUUAAUACAUUACUAGAAUAGUGAAAUAAGUUGAGAAUGCCAUGGUAGAUGGCCCUCAGAAAAGGCAUUCAUUUUCUCUUUUUUCCAAGACGGCGAAAAAAAACAUUACUUUCCAUUAAAAAUGAUUACCAUGCAGUUGGGUAUGAUGACACUUGCAAAUGUAAAUGUCCUCCAAUGACAAAACAAUAUGAAUCUCUAACCCUCAUAUUAGCAACAAGAACAAAAUGUUAUGCAGCUAUCGGUUCUUUUCAAAAUUACAAGAUGGCGUAGGAGUCCCUCCUUAGUUUUCUUAAGAUUCAGUGACAACCAAAGAUUAUGGUCCCCAGAUAAAAGAUGAGCAAUUUGAUGAACAUAUAGGCACAUCGUGAGCCGAUGAAGAGAAGAAAAGAAAAGAAAAGAUCAAGAGAUGUAAGCAAACCUGCUGCAGUGAUAUCUAUUUUCUCCAUCCAAGACUUCUGUAGAUGUAAACCGCACAAGAGCCUCAUCCAGUGAACUGAUGUCACCAUCUAUUUCAACAGUAAGAUCCAACAUACGCUCACAUUGCUCAGAACUAAUAUGACACCUUGAGCAUUUUAUCUAUGAAAAAAAAAUCAAAGAAAGAGGAAGGAAUGAUCAGUAAGGAUGUAAAAAGGAUUAGUUCACUAUAUAACAAGUCUAAGGUAAUUGAAUAUAUAUCAGAAUUAAAAUAUUAAGCUUUAUGUAAAUAACCUUAGAUCGCAGAUAGCCCCCAAAUAUCAAUUGCACAAGUGUAGUUUCUUCUGCUGACCGAAGGGCACCUCCUUUUCUAGCUUCCUUCAUGCAUACGGAUUGCAUGGCAUCAAUUGCAUACCUGCAAAGAGACCAGAUGCUAUGCUUUCAAUAAAAGUAGAGGCAAUGCCUUUGAUUUGAGGAUAAGGCAUUUUUGUCACAUCGAAGAACUCUUGCAUAUAAAGGAGUUAGCUACGAUCAAUUAAUUUUUUUUGAUAACAUGUGAACCACUUGCAACACUAACCCAGAAUAAAGUGGACUAAAAAAGUAACAAAUAAAUCACUGUGGGGUCCAUUACUAUAUCAAGUUCUAUAAUUUCUUGUUUGCAUAGGAUUUCCAUAGUGUGAAUGGCAAUAGGCAACUAGUUGGGGAAUACGAGUUCAAAACAAGCACUGCAUGGUACUGCAACUUUCAUUUGGUUUAAACAGGAUGAGGAAAAUCAAAUCAAAACAUCAUAACUGUAAAGCGAUGUGCUUUAGUGUAACAAAUUCAGCCUCACUAGGUGGACAUUUGCAAGCAACUAUGGCAAAAGCGCUCAUCCACAGGUAGUAAAAUAGCCCAACCAGAUCUAUAGCACAUUUUUUUCUUCCACCUACUCAUAAUAAUUGAUCACUCAAAUGGCAUAACCACAAUUAAAUUCAAAUUAAUAAUUAAAUAAUCAGAAACCUCUAUAUUUAAUCUUUUCCACACUUUGCUACACAUAGAUUCUGUAGGAUUAUGAACUGCUUCAUAUUCUUGAAGUGUCAAAAAUAUAGUAAAUAUAUGCUGCCUUACCUGAGAAAUUCAUGAGCAUCUUCUUGUUUACCAGGACCAAAGCUACUGCCAAUGUCAUGCAAAUGAGAGAGUAUCCCAGUUGGUGAUAAAGCAGUCUUGCGUCGUUUGCCCUCCACAAUGAGUUUUUCAAAUUCGCACAUGAAGCACCAUUCCCUUUUGGAGCCUACAGCACACGAGGUAUUAUUUAAAUACUCAAGUGCGCAGUAAAAAGAAACGAAGUGGUGUGACGAGAAUUACAAUUUUUUGAAUGAAGUCCUCCCAAAAGAUAUGUUGUAAGUGGUCGAGUAAACAUCAAGCACUGAAGAACAGCAUUUGCAUAGCAACUGCAAAAGACAUGGGUUAGACAAAGUGAACAACAACAAUGUACUAAAAAAAUAAGUCCAUCCAAAACAACCCACUUAACCCCUAAGCUCUAUGCCACGAAAAGACGCAAGUUCAGUGCUAAUAUAUCAGGCCAUGAUAUAAUCCACCUCAAAGUAUCACAUUCUAUGCACAAAGCAGACUUUAAUGGAAGUUAAAUACAAAUAUUUAGGAGCAUUCACCUAAGAUCAUACAAAUGCCCAGACAAAAAAAAGGGAUAACCUUAAUUGAUAAACCAUGUUUUAAUACCAGCCAACCUUCCUACUCUUGCUAUUGAAAACAAUUCACUGUUUACCUGUUGCCAAGGUUAUGAAGACCAAAGGGGUGCAACUCAACCUUGUCGUAGAGCUUCACAAAAAGUUCAUAUGGAAAGAGUGUCUGACACAAAAAAGAACUGUUAGCAGAAGAGAUAAAAUAAGAUGC